AGUGAACGCUGGCGGUAGGCCUAACACAUGCAAGUCGAACGGCAGCACAGUAAGAGCUUGCUCUUACGGGUGGCGAGUGGCGGACGGGUGAGGAAUACAUCGGAAUCUACUUUUUCGUGGGGGAUAACGUAGGGAAACUUACGCUAAUACCGCAUACGACCUACGGGUGAAAGCAGGGGAUCUUCGGACCUUGCGCGAUUGAAUGAGCCGAUGUCGGAUUAGCUAGUUGGCGGGGUAAAGGCCCACCAAGGCGAUGAUCCGUAGCUGGUCUGAGAGGAUGAUCAGCCACACUGGAACUGAGACACGGUCCAGACUCCUACGGGAGGCAGCAGUGGGGAAUAUUGGACAAUGGGCGCAAGCCUGAUCCAGCCAUACCGCGUGGGUGAAGAAGGCCUUCGGGUUGUAAAGCCCUUUUGUUGGGAAAGAAAAGCAGCAGGUUAAUACCCCGCUGUUCUGACGGUACCCAAAGAAUAAGCACCGGCUAACUUCG
rnacentral:rRNA from 1 species